rnacentral:rRNA from 1 species
UGGUGGAGUGAUUUGUCUGGUUAAUUCCGUUAACGAACGAGACCUCGACCUGCUAAAUAGUCUGGCAUAGUCUUCGGAUUAUGUACUUCAGACUUCUUAGAGGGACUAUCGGUGUGCAGCCGAUGGAAGUUCGAGGCAAUAACA